ACUCCUACGGGAGGCAGCAGUGGGGAAUAUUGCACAAUGGGCGCAAGCCUGAUGCAGCCAUGCCGCGUGUGUGAAGAAGGCCUUCGGGUUGUAAAGCACUUUCAGUUGUGAGGAAGGUGGUGUCGUUAAUAGCGGCAUCAUUUGACGUUAGCAACAGAAGAAGCACCGGCUAACUCCGUGCCAGCAGCCGCGGUAAUACGGAGGGUGCGAGCGUUAAUCGGAAUUACUGGGCGUAAAGCGCAUGCAGGUGGUUUGUUAAGUCAGAUGUGAAAGCCCGGGGCUCAACCUCGGAACUGAAUUUGAAACUGGCAGACUAGAGUACUGUAGAGGGGGUAGAAUUUCAGGUGUAGCGGUGAAAUGCGUAGAGAUCUGAAGGAAUACCGGUGGCGAAGGCGGCCCCCUGGACAGAUACUGACACUCAGAUGCGAAAGCGUGGGGAGCAAACAGGAUUAGAUACCCUGGUAGCACAGAG
rnacentral:rRNA from 1 species